rnacentral:sRNA from 1 species
AAGUGAAAUCUCAGCAGUGAAAUCGUUCGAACAGUGUGACAGCUCUCAGAAAUAUACCGAAAUAUACAGCAGAAAUACAGCAGAAAAUACCGAUAAAAACGAACUUAGCCCUCUUAAGCCCCCUUUAUUCAAAACAGUAUAAAAACUUGAGUUAAGCCGCGGAAAACAAUACUACUAAUAAUAAUUCUUCCAUGAUCCCAUUCCACAUUUUCUUCCACUCUGUUACAUAGUACUACAUAUAGUAAUAUGUAGGAUUUAUACUAAAACUACCAAAAAAUUACCUAAAUAUUCCUUCAAUUUCAACGUCAAAAGGUUGGAAUGCAACGCACCUUUCAUUGCUAGGGAUGGCAGUCGAGUGUACCAAUUAUGAGCGUAUGACACUACACUGUCGGAGAUCCGUUGGUUCCGAUUUUCAGAUUGCUGGCAGAUUGCUAUAUGCUAAUAUAACAGACUGUAAGACAGUUCAUUAUUCACUGUGAUGCCAUCUCUAAUGCUCUUUCGAUGCAUUGAAAGAUUUCCCUCAUAUUUGGCGCGCUCAACAGUUGCGCCCCGUAAAUUUGAAUGAAUGAAUGAAAAUCAUCAGCUUUCGCGUUUCUUUCUCCUAUUUCUCAUGAACUUCAAAUUUUAUUUGAAUUAUUAAAUGUACAUUAUUGUGUUUAGAAUUUAUAAAUAUGCUUUUGGGAGUGUGUGUGUGGCUUCAACGCUCUUAAUAAACACCAUACUUGUAUGGUUUUUCCCUCAUAAAUGGUGCUCUUUAAACUUUGCCUUAAUUUCGAUUAUAUUUUUGGUGACCAAACAAUUUUUCAAAGUACAUUACAUUAUAUAUAAUAAUUGGUAAAAAUUUGAAAUAUAUCUUCUACGACUACACUCUGUAAAAUUUGCAUAUUUCUAUUUCUAUUUUGGGGUUUCAACUAUUUUUUUCUGAAUUGCUGAUUGUUACUGAGUUGCCGUUACUUUGU